GUCUUCACCGUGUACAUAUGUCUCUUGCGGGUGUGCUAUUUGUUCCAGUGGAAGAUAGGUUCCAGUUUCUAUAAAUGGUCCUCUGCAUGUGUAUAUGUUCUCUGUACUUGAACCAAAUUGACGUACUAGUUUUACUGAAAACCUAUACUAGCUGGUAUCAGUCUAUAGCAAGAGAUGCAUGCAAUUUGUUUUAUAUAUGAAAAAUGGUGAUGAUGAGUACAUGCUGCUGUUUGACUAGUUCACUGCCUGCUGGUCCAGAUUAUAUGGUCGUGAAGCUCGGCGUUGACAAGAGCAUCACUCUGUAGCUGUGCAUCCUUCUCUAACAAGCAUUCAAAGCACUACCAUGCCGGGCUGUGGGUACUGCCUCAUCGACCAAGGAUCUACGGCGACAGCGGCACCAGCGACCCCAUGGAGGCGGCACCGAAACCCUGGUUGCUACUGCUCUCCCCUGAGUCCCCUCCUCAUCUCCUCCCUCACGCGGUGUCUUCUCUCUCUUUCUCUCUCGCUCUCUCAAGCUAAUUUUAAUCUGACUCCAUCUUGGGGUGCUACUGUGCGUGCAAUACAUGCUCUGCUUGGUCUUCUUUUCUUAGACAUCCCUCGAUCAGUUAAGUUGGACAAGCAAAAAAUCUUACAUAUCUCAGCUUUGUCAAUUAAGCUCAUUUGAUUGAUGUCUUUAUCUUCACAAGUCUUGCUGAACCUUGAGAUAGGCAAAAACAUUCAGUUCAGAGCCUGAUAGUUUGUUGCUAUAAUAAUAAUACCUACACUUCUACAUUACCAAUUGCCGUCUGGAGAUUCAAAUUCAGAUAUGAAAACUAUAUAGGAUUUUCAAUUCUCUGGGAAUGUUGCUACAUAUUCUUUUACAUGUUUCUCUCUGAGGCUAAUUUUAAUCUCACAUCAUCCUGGGUGGUACUGUGUGUGUUGUAGAUGCUCUGUUUCAUCUUCUUUUCUCAAACCUCCACGAGUCAAAUUCGACCGGGAAAAAGAAACACCUGCGUACAUAUCACCGGGUAGUGGCCCGACAAAAUGUUACAUAUAUCAGUUUUGUCAUUUAAGCCCAUUUGAUGUCAUCUUCAUAACUCUGUCUAUCUCCAGCUAUGGUGUGGAAUAUUAACUGGGGAUUUUGAAACGCAGAUGUUCAAGCUGGAGGAUGUGGCGAUGGAAUAUGGAUCAAUGAGAUGAAGAAAGGUGUUGAUGUCAAGUACGAGAAUGAUGGAAGGAUCUUGUGGUUAUCUAGUUGCCCACCAGGAGUCAAUGUAGAUGAUGUGCCUCUAGGGCAAAUUCUAGAAAACAAAGCGACUCAUUUUUGCUCUCAAACAAUGAACAUAUUUUUCCCUAUUUAAUAAGUUAAAUUAGUUUAUGGGAAAUUUAGAUGUGAAAAUUAAUGAAUGUGUGUUAUUAUUGUUUGGUUUUGGUUUAGUAUUGUUGGACGACAUGCACGUUAUUGUAAUGAUUUGGGUUAACUUGAU